rnacentral:rRNA from 1 species
UACGUAGGGGGCAAGCGUUGUCCGGAUUUAUUGGGCGUAAAGGGCGCGUAGGCGGUUUCUUAAGUUUGAAGUGACAGUGGGUGGCUUAACUACCCAAGGCCUUUGAAAACUGGGGAACUUGAGGACCAGAGAGGGACAUAGAAUUCCGGGUGGAGUGGUGAAAUGCGUAGAUAUCCGGAGGAAUCCCAAAGGCGAAGGCAGUGUCCUGGAGGGUUAACUGACGCUGAGGCGCGAAAGCUAGGGGAGCGAACAGG